CACAUUAUAUGGACUUUUCUUUCUCUCUCUAAAUACGCUGCUCCCUCUUCUCUCUACAAAAAUCCUUCAAUUAGUAACAAAAGUGUGCGAAUCAGUAACAUUAUUUUCAUUUUGGACAUUGAAUCAGGUAGAGAGGAAUGAUGCAGAGGAUCAACUAACGCUGAAAAGACGUAUUUCUUCUGCUGUUGUGAAGUUUAUGAAUUCAGAUUGAAGAGGGGGAGAUUGUUGAGGAUUUAUUUGGAGCUCCAACAGAUAUAAAUAAGGAAGAUGCAGCUGUGAAAGAAAAUUCAAGGGAGGUAUCUGUCAGUCAAGAUCCAAUUGGCUCCGGAGAGAUGGUUAUAAAAGGCCAUCCAAAAUGGUAAGCAUACAUGCAUGCCUUUGGUGGUCCAUACCUAUAUUUUGUUAGUCCUUAUUC